AAGGGACCCCGUUCGGAGAAGGCAUAGAGGCCCUUCAUUCCAUGGCCAUGCCCAUUGUUCUUAAGUUGUAAUUAUCGAAAAGAUCCAAUAUAUCAGAGCCGAUCAAGAUUCUUACGUGGUAGAGCCCUUCUGUUCAACAAAGCUCAGAUAGAGGUGUUUUGUGCAACAAUAUUUUAGGUUCACCUCCACGGACCGCUCCAUUCGGUUCUUUCAGCUCCGGUGGUGUUGGGAGUGUAUGCCUCUUCUUGUCCAUUCAUUGCUCGAGGGGCGUAGAGUUUGGAGAUGGGGCAACGCCGGUUUUUAGAGAAGAAGCUUGGGUGCAAGUUGGCCAUUGAUUUAUGUGGUGAAAUAAAUGUGCUAUAUUUUUUUUAUCCUUCAGCCUAGGAUUGACUUGAUUUUUGGAGGGUAGCUUCCAAUGUCUUGUAUUAAAGAUAAACUGAUCUGUCAUAUUACUAUUUUUGGUUGGUUUGAUCAAAGUUUGACCAUGCAUUCAUAAUUGGGUUGUGAUAUUUCUUGUUUGCAGUAGGGAGGGCAUCUAUUUCUCAUACUAAAGGAUUUUUUUUCUUUUUCUUUUUUCAUCUUAAAAUUUAUUAUGAGAUUGUUUUUUACCUACCUAAAUAGACUUGGGUGGGUUGGUUAUUAUAGUGUAGACUAUAGUUAACAAGUUGGGGAUUAUCAAUCUCUCUCUCUUAAGUUAUGUUGGGGUUUUUGAUAGUGUAUAGAGAUGCUAAGCAUCUCUCUCUAUUUCUUUUACUUUUAUUCUCUCUCUGUCUCACUGCUAAUCAUACUUCGUUAAUUUUAUGUACAUACGGGUGCCUCCGAGUCAAGGCCACCCAUUGGGACCAAUUUAAUUAUACAUUUUGGAAUACCAGUUUCUCUCUCUAGGAUGGGUCGACCGUUGGUCCCUUAUGAGGAAACAAGUAGCCAUGAAAGCAUCUCAACUAGCAGCACUAUAGGGAAAAACUCUACACAAGUAGUAAUCAUCUUCAACCUCCCUCGUCUCCCAAAAAUGAGAACCAGAAGACGAGAUGACUCUUCCUCCCAUUUGUUUCACCCAAGCUUCUUCUCUAAAAACACGCUUUGCCUCAUCUCCAAACUCUAUGCUCUCUCGAUCAAGAAGAGGCCUGCACUCCCUGCAACAUCGGAGCUGAAAGAACCGAAUGGAGCAAUUUGUGGAGGUGAACCUAAGUGCAAACCAGAGGGUGAACUCUCUCUAAUUGCAAGCUUUGGAUGCAUAGGUGGUUAUCUUUUAAAGAAGAAAAAAGAUGAAGAGACCCCUAUUUGGAAGAGAAGGAUUUUGAUGGGAAAGAGGUGUCAACCUUUGAACGAUUUUAAUGAUAUCUGCAUGAAUAUUGAAGAUGAAGCAGAAAAAGAAGAACAAGAAGAAGAGGUGUUUACUGACGGUUGGCUUUCCUCACCAAUGUCUUCUUCUAGUUCUUCGUAUACUCGCACUUCUUCUUCUUCUUCUUCGCGGACUUUUCUCUCUAGUGUAAAUGUGCAUUCAGAUUCAAGCAAUCAACCAAAAAGUAAUAAGAGACGUGUUUCUUCUUCUUCGGUGGA